rnacentral:rRNA from 1 species
UACGUAGGGUGCAAGCGUUAAUCGGAAUUACUGGGCGUAAAGCGUGCGCAGGCGGUGAUGUAAGACAGAUGUGAAAUCCCCGGGCUCAACCUGGGAACUGCAUUUGUGACUGCAUCGCUGGAGUGCGGCAGAGGGGGAUGGAAUUCCGCGUGUAGCAGUGAAAUGCGUAGAUAUGCGGAGGAGCACCGAUGGCGAAGGCAAUCCCCUGGGCCUGCACUGACGCUCAUGCACG